CAGCUCCCCCUGAGGAGAACGAAGAGGAAGAGGAGGAGGAAGGCCUCGACCACACCCACCACCCCUCCCCCACGUGGCAGGAGUCCUGGCCACGCCCCCAGGAGCUGCUGGAGAGGCCCCGCCCACCCGAUGACCACGCCCCCCGCAGGAUACUCCCCCUGGGCCCGCAGCUAUUGGUGCUGGGGUUAUUGGGGGCGGGGCUUGCGGUGCUGGGGUGGUUCCGGGGUGGGGCUUAAGUGGGCGUGGUCCGGAAGUGGUUGCCGGAAGUGGGCGGGGCUUCUCAGCUCUCUUCUUUCUCUGUGUUUCUUCAUUGAAAUAAAGGUGGAAAAAGAAUGAAUGGGGGCGGGGUCAAAA